AAAGGGCAGAAUGCUCAUGCACUGUACUCUUACCACAUUGACGUAGAAGAAUGAGAACUUCUUGUGGUUUCCUGUACACUCUUCCACAUUUUAUCAAGCUUAGAAAAAAACCUCUUGUCUACUUUCAGUUUUCCUUUUUCCACUCUGCUGCAUCUCUUCAUUCUUGCCUUCCAUCUCACCUUUAAAGCAGAUACAAAUGAAAUAAAGGGAAGAGAAAUAUGAGAUGAUAGUAGUGUCAUGUUUCUGUUCAGAGGAGGAGACAGAACUAUAAAACAGUAUUCUCAUCAACAAUGUUGACCUCAUUGCUGCCAGAAAGAGUAGUUCACGUAGGAUGUCCAGAAACCAAUCCAGGGAAAGCCCAUGAUCUACGGUUUCCUAAUUCCUGUUUCCAGCUGCCUUCAUUGUGGAAAAGAGGAAGAUAUACUACUUGCAUCAGCUGUACCCUCCUUGGAACAGGGUGAAAGCCACUUAAUAAGGAAUCCUACAAGGACUACUGCUCUUGUGAUCACCCAGAAUUGUCAUCCCUCAUUAAAUUAGGUAGUUUAAUUAGUAUAUUAAUU
rnacentral:lncRNA from 1 species